rnacentral:lncRNA from 1 species
CAGUGAACCAUCACUGGAGACUUUGGAAGGGCAGGGCCUUUUCCUUGUCACUGUGAGUCCCCAGCUCCAGCAAGGGGACAGUAUGGAAGAGGCACUGGGUAAGGAAGAAUGUUCCAAUUUUCAGCAUGAAGAAACUGAGGAUCAGGGAGACUAAGCAACAGGGUUAAGGGCACACAACAAGCCAGAGUCAGAGCUGGGUUUUGAAUCAGGUCUGUUUAUGCCAUAUCCACGGGAAGGCAGGGAGUGGACGAGAAGGAAGUGACAUUUAUGGGCCAUUUUGCCGCUGCCAGGCCUGUGCUGGGCACCGUCAUUAGUGUCUCACUUUUAAUUAUAGAACGUUAAUCGGAA